CGGAUACUCUAGAAUCAAUUUCCCAAGCUUGCAACUUUGUGCUUUUUAGCACCAUUUUGGCUUCUCAUUAGUCACAGACACUUUGCAACUGGAUUGGGCUUUGCAGAAAACAGAAGCAGACGAACAAGAUUCCACAAGCUUCAGGGCUUCAUCCGUCUCAGUAUAUUCCAGUGAGAAUAUGAAGGCAGGCUAAACAAUAUUCCAACAAUCUGAGCUGCUUCUUAUUCAAAAGGAAUACAAAUUGUAUUCUUCUCAUCAGUUGUCAGGAUUUUCAAUUUAUCUAAAUUCAGGCUUUCAUGAGAAAAAAAAAAAAAUCCCCGCAGCAUCGCGCGGGUUUAAGCACCAGUCAAUUUGCCUGAACUUUCAUAUCAAUAGAAAACGGACACAUAUCUUGAGGAAGAUGGAGGAAGAUCCCUGCAAAGCUUUUCUUGAAGUAGAGGAAGAAAAGUACCUUGUAUUAUCUUGUAAACUCUUGUAUAAGAGCUUCAUUUCUUUUGUAACAUUCAUGAGAAAAAUCAAAAUGUAACAUUCCCUUUUCAAUAUAUGUUUAAUUCCUUUUUGUA